AUUCCGACUGCUGGUGGCCUUCACGGCGCGUUAACCUUUCGGGACCAAUCUUGGCUGCAGAGUCCGCUUUUCCUUGACCACGGAUGUACUGGCAUUGAAGCGAAGCGGACGAUGAAGGCCGGGUUAUCCGGCCUUUGUUUUU
rnacentral:sRNA from 1 species